AUUAGAUUGUACUCAGGAAGUCAAACUUACUUCACAUCAUUUUAAAACUUUCAGGAUGAGAAAAUUAUUAGUGAUAAUUCUUUUAAGCUGCAUUAUCUCAGUUUUGUGUAAAAACGGUCCUUUUGAUUAUCCAAAAAAUCUCGGGUUGCCUUGUGGAAAUUCCUGGAGAGUUUGUGACAAACUGUGUAAUAAGCAUGGAUACAGGUUUUCAAAAUGUAUGAAUAAUAGAUGCCAUUGUUACAUAUAAUCCUCAUUAAAUUUGAAUUAAUAAAUACA